rnacentral:rRNA from 1 species
UAAGGGAUAUUGGUCAAUGGGGCGGGAGCCUGAACCAGCCAUGCCGCGUGAGGGAAUGAGGCCCUACGGGUCGUAAACCUCUUUUGCCGGGGGAUAACGGGCGCCACGCGUGGCGCCGUGAAGGUACCCGGAGAAUAAGCAUCGGCUAACUCCGUGCCAGCAGCCGCGGUAAUACGGAGGAUGCGAGCGUUAUCCGGAUUUAUUGGGUUUAAAGGGUGCGUAGGCGGAUUAUUAAGUCAGCGGUGAAAGCGUGUGGCUCAACCAUACGAUUGCCGUUGAUACUGGUAGUCUUGAGUGUAAACGAGGUAGGCGGAAUGUGAUGUGUAGCGGUGAAAUGCUUAGAUAUGUCACAGAACCCCGAUUGCGAAGGCAGCUUACCAGGAUACGACUGACGCUGAGGCACGAAAGCGUGGGUAUCAAACAGGAUUAGAUACCCUGGUAGU